AAAGUUCUUUCCUACACAGUGAAAAUCCCUAGACAGUAGAACCCGCUCUCCUAGGUCCGGCUGGACUUCACCACCGUGCAGCCCAUGCGGAUGGUGCUACUUACUUGCUCUAACUGGACGUUCGUUGUCAUCGGCGUGUGGAUCUGUAAUGACGUCUCUUCCAACUUCAUUCUCGUCUCCGCCAUCUUGUCCCCCAGGCUUCUGGGCAAUGUCCACACAUACAGGUCUUCAGUAGAAACCUGUGAGCAGGCUCCUCCCCGUUCACAAGUUAGAAAAAAAAAUCGCAGAGUGUCAUUUUUGACAUUGACUUUGUUUGAAAUGGCAAUGUGCACAUUGUGCUGCCUCAAGCAUCUGAGACCCCAACAGGAUCACAGGGAAAUCCUGGAAAUUAAUGUGACUAUUUCAUCUUCUACUGAGACAAACCACUUUAUUUUCAACUACAGCAAUCCUUCCUUUCUUUUUUUUCUUUCUUUCUUUCUUUCUUUUUUUUACAUUGUGAGCUUUUUUUUUAACCAGCAUUUCUAAUGAGUGACAUGCAAAUGAAGACUGUGUCAGUCGUAGAAAACAUGAAUAUUUAUUAUUGGCUUCUCCUCCUGCCUGGUACUGGGGCCAACCCGCAGCCAGGCUUCCUGCCUCCCAUUCGUGCUCAGCCCGUAGGGUGGCGGGUGCCAGCCCUUCUGUGGAGGGAUCUGACACACAGGGGUGGUCAGUGGUGGGGUCUUCCCAUCCCACAGAGCAGACACCAAGUCCUUACACUCUUUGUUCCUCCAAACCACAGCCCUCAUCCAGCUGUCCGUCCCCAAGCAGCCCUCACCUCCCCAGCGUUCCUGGGGGGCAGCUCAACCCAGGGCCUCACGUGCUCACACUGACAGAGCUAAGAGCUUCCACCAGGAAAAUAUGAGCCAGGGAAAGACUCUGAACGUGGGGCUUGGGGCGCUGGGCUGGUCCUCCAGCGAGUGGCCUCGGUGAGAAGCUAAGGAGCGGCACACCAGGCUCGGGCUGGGGUGGUUUCGGUGGGAAGCAGAAGGUGAUCCAGGGCUAAUGGUGAAAUGCUUGCUCUGUGCCCUCUAGGGACUUCAGUUUACCAGGCGUGAGCUAAUAAACAGAGAACAGACAAAUUCA
rnacentral:lncRNA from 1 species